rnacentral:rRNA from 1 species
AGGACGACGCUGGCGGCGUGCUUAAUACAUGCAAGUCGAGCGAGGCCUUGGAAUUGGAGUCCUUCGGGAUGAAGAGUCCUUGGCCUAGCGGCGGACGGGUGAGUAACGCGUGGGCAACCUACCCCAAAGUCCGGGAUAACAGUGGGAAACCGCUGCUAAUACCGGAUGGCUUUACCUGAGGGCAUCCUCGGGUAAAGAAAGGUUACGCUUUGGGAUGGGCCCGCGUCCCAUUAGCUAGUUGGUGAGGUAACGGCUCACCAAGGCCACGAUGGGUAGCCGGCCUGAGAGGGUGAACGGCCACACUGGGACUGAGACACGGCCCAGACUCCUACGGGAGGCAGCAGUAGGGAAUAUUGCGCAAUGGGCGGAAGCCUGACGCAGCGACGCCGCGUGAGCGAAGAAGGCCUUCGGGUCGUAAAGCUCUGUCCUUGGGGAAGAAGGCGAAAGCUUGACGGUACCCAAGAAGAAAGCCCCGGCUAACUACGUG